CGGACGGGUGAGUAACACGUGGAUAACCUACCUAUAAGACUGGGAUAACUUCGGGAAACCGGAGCUAAUACCGGAUAAUAUUUUGAACCGCAUGGUUCAAAAGUGAAAGACGGUCUUGCUGUCACUUAUAGCUGGAUCCGCGCUGCAUUAGCUAGUUGGUAAGGUAACGGCUUACCAAGGCAACGAUGCAUAGCCGACCUGAGAGGGUGAUCGGCCACACUGGAACUGAGACACGGUCCAG
rnacentral:rRNA from 1 species